AUUACAUGUGCAUUAGUUUAGAGUUUUUUACGGUAAAAAGUUAAUUUUCAAUAAAUUCAUUAUGGAUAUGUCAGUUUGAAGUUUUCGUGGAAUUAAUCAUUAUUAUAAAGUGUUUGGCGAUCAUCUCAAGCGGUUACGGUACGUUGGUUCAGGGCGACAUUUGGCAAGCCAACCCCCGUUAUUUCCAACGGACUAACAUGGAAGUGGACUUUACCCGUCCGUAACAGGCCACUUUCUACGAAUCGGCCGAACUUCUUCAACAAAAGGCAGCGCAAGUGUCUUGAGAAUGCCGAAUUGCAUUUUGCGAGCCGGUGCCGUAAAUACGGAAUCCCAUGUAUAAAUACGGCCGCGAUUCAAUUGGGGGAGGUCGUGAGUCUGCGCGCUCCCUGACCCCGAGCGCGCAAAAUUCGCUGGGAGCGCGAAAAUGGUCGGCACUUCGCCUUCUGGUUCGUCUUCGCUUUCAGGUUCUUCGAGGCAAGACAAGAGUCAGAAAUGGCGGGUGUCGCUGUCGGAUGUCGCAUAUCACUUUGGCACCAGUGGGCUCUCUGUUGCGGUUGCCACUGCGGUGACCCACCCCUUAGAUGUGCUCAAAGUGAGGCUACAAAUGCAACUUGUUGGCCAGAGAGGUCAGUUGACUGGAAUGGGCCAAGUAUUCAUUCAAGUGGUGAAGAAUGAAGGGCCACAUUCGUUGUAUCUUGGAAUGACGCCUGCACUAACACGAUCCCUUCUUUAUGGGGGCCUCCGCUUGGGCUUAUAUGAACCCUCUAAGUAUGUCUGUGAUCAGGCAUUUGGGUCCUCCAAUAUAUUUGUUAAAAUAGCAUCUGGAGCAUUUUCAGGGGCUAUUGCGACAGCAAUGACCAACCCAGUUGAAGUCAUAAAGGUGCGGUUACAAAUGAAUUCAGGUUUGACAAAACUUGGGCCAGUUGGAGAAAUGCGCAAGAUCGUGUCCGAAGAGGGAGUAAAAGCUCUCUGGAAAGGGGUUGGCCCUGCUAUGACUAGAGCUGCUACUUUGACUGCAUCACAGCUGGCAACAUAUGACGAAUCCAAGCAGAUUUUGAGGAGAUUGACACCUCUUGAGGAAGGAUUUAAUCUACAUCUGAGCUCAAGCAUAGUUGCAGGCAUGGUGAGUACUCUCAUGACAGCGCCAGUGGACAUGGUUAAGACCCGUCUGAUGUUGCAACGAGAAUCUGAGACUGUGGGGAGAUACAAAAACGGAUUUCAUUGUGCAUAUCAGGUAGCUUAUUUGUCCCUUUCCUUGUCCAAAGCCACCGUUACCAAGGCGUAAAGAACACGAUAUUCCAACGGAGAGGAUAGGGGGCAGUUUGCUUGAAGAAAAAUUUUCAGAAUUUUCGUUCCAUUUCCUUUUGAGAAUGAAAAUGCUGAUGAAAAUACGUUUGGUCUAAUUUAUGACACAGUUUCCACUGAAACAUAUGAAAUGCUGUUUCUCUUUUACUACCGAAAGAGUGAGAGGAAAUAUCAACAGAAUUUUGUACUUUUUAUUUUUUUCCUUUCCAAUCGAAAACACAGCUUAUGAAGAGAGAGAAAGCAUUUUGAAGUCGCUCUCUCUGGUUGACUCUCUCUCCCUUCUUCGUUCUUUAUACACUGAGGAAGAAUUUCUCUGAAGAAGUUGUGACACGUUGACGAAGUACUUUAUCUGAAGAAGAAGUAAUGGUCAUUCGUACAGAAGGCUUUAGGGCUUUAUACAAAGGGGGAUUUGCAAUCUUUGCGAGAUUAGGUCCUCAAACCACAAUUACCUUUGUACUUUGUGAGAAGCUGAGGGAGGUCACUGGACUAAAGGCACUUUAGUCAUGCAAUAGAUGCCACCCCUUGACUUUUUA